GUAAUACUCCAAUUUCCCUAUCUCAGUGGAAGUGUGAUCAUAUUUUUGUUUGUGGUUUUUGUGCUGCAGGUGAAAGCUGGGGCCAUGCUAGUACCAUUCGGAUUGUGUUGUACUGGGAGGACAAUCAGAGAUUUGCAAACUUGUACAAGUCACCUUCUCGACAGCAAAUGACAGUUGCGUUUCAAAUCACGGCUGAUGGAGUACGUGACUGUUUUACUAACUACAAAGUACGCAAACACUGUGAAAGGAGAGAUAGUCCGCAGGCUCAGGAAAACCAUCAAAGUUCAGCUCAUGAUAUUCAAGUGACAGGCAUGGAAAUGACAAACUUCAAUGUACGGAAAAGACGAUUUGAAGAGCUCACUUCAACAGAAUCCCAGAUAGGCAAUACUGCCGAGAAGUGAUAAAGAACUUUCUGUGCUUUCACUUUUUACAACCUUUAAGCCAUCUUGAAAGAGUUUUCGGGGCUAAAUUAUGCCCGCUCUACCCAGUUUUCUUGUUGCCAACUACAUUACAUUGCAUUGCAAAAAGUUUCCGACUAUUUUAAUUUCGUACAAAAAAUAGUGUUCAAAAAUAAAACUGUUAAAAAAAGUGUCUGAAGUAUUUACAGUAGUACAGUAUAAAAUUUUUAGUUAACUCCAAAAUUCUUAGAUUCCAUUAUGAGGCAAACUCUAGUUGAAACACCUUCAUAGAUGUUGCCUCAGUCUUACUUGCGUUUUGCAGGCGUAAAUUUGCUUUAGCUGAGUCAUUUUGUCCGAGCUACAGUUUAAAUCCACGCAUUUUGAUAAAAUAAAAGCAUUCAACCAUACCUUGAAUUGGGGUUUAAUUGUAUACAGUUCAAAACAACAUGGAGAGGAAAGUAGUACCAGGGGGCACUUCCUAUAAUGGACUAUAGCAGGAGGCCCUGCCCGAAAGGGGUAUCAUUUUAGAGCUAGGGCUACAUAAAAGGGUAGGGACUUCACAUGGUGAAGUCUAGAAAGAGCAGGUAAAACUUUGCAUAGUUCCUAGACCUCAAAUUAUAUUUCGCCAUGGUCAAUCGUUUCGGGUCAUGUGGUCCGGGGCGAAAAGUGUGGCCUAGACAAAAACCCGAAAAUUGAGUCUCAAUUUUUGACUUAGCCAAUUUUAUGCUAUUUUGUGCCAUUUUGGCCUUAUGUGCCUUAGAACUGAUGAAGAUGAAUUUCAUGCCAUGGAAGGGAAUUCUCUGGGCAUAACUGCUAGAGAAAAGCAAUUUAAACUCCUUGCUUUUGUCUUAAUGUUAACUGGUUAGGUGAAAUGGCUCAUCUGGAUCCAAACGGACAUUAUCGAGUCAGAAGCAUGGCACGGGCAAAUACUGAUUACUCAAGAUAUUUAAGCCCUUGAAGAUUUCUAUUACAUGUAACCGUACUGCUUGAACAAAGAAACCAAAAAUAUCCAAAAUUUCUUAAUUUUCGGGUUUAAGAGUAAGCUAGAGUAGCUUUCUAAAUCAAUUAUUUAACUAUAGUUUGACCACUAUGUAAUAAACAAGAAU